UACUGAGGGUGCAAGCGUUAUCCGGAUUCACUGGGUUUAAAGGGUGCGUAGGAGGGGGAGUAAGUCAGUGGUGAAAUCUUCGAGCUUAACUCGGAAACUGCCGGUGAUACUACUUGUCUUGAAUACCGUGGAGGUGAGCGGAAUAUGUCAUGUAGCGGUGAAAUGCUUAGAUAUGACAUAGAACACCAAUUGCGAAGGCAGCUCACUACACGAAUAUUGACUCUGAGGCACGAAAGCGUGGGGAUCAAACAGG
rnacentral:rRNA from 1 species